AGUGGGAUAGCUGGGUCAUGUGGUCGCUCCAUUCCUAGUUUUUUGAGGAAUCGCCAUACUGCUUUCCAAAGUUGUUGUACUAAUUUGUAGUCCCACCAACAAU
rnacentral:pre_miRNA from 1 species